AACUGCUAGAACUGAACUAUUAAUUCAUUGCAAAAUAUUUUAUUGACUAUGUUAUCUUUCAGUGCUAUAAGAUCUGCUUUAUUUACAAGCCCCAAUGUCAUAAAAUGAACCUUUAUUUAUUACAAAGAACAAGAAACAUCACAUUCAGUAUUCAUUUGUGAAGUAAUUGAUUCAGUUUUCUAGUGUUGAAAGAAUGCACGGCAUUCAUUUAUCUUAUCAGGAUAGACCGAACUAUUAGUGAGAGGAUUAGUAAGUGUAGUUACUCAAGUUCAAGUGUGAUGAAGUUUUCAUGUUUAGAAAUGAGACAUAUAAUUUGUAUAAUAUUAUUUUUUCUUCAUAGUACAAAUUCUUAUUCCAUUACGAAAAAUGGAGAUGCGGACUAUACUGAGGAAGAAAUCAAUUAUUUGUAUCUCACAAGCAUGAUGGAUUUAAUGAGCAAUUACUCAAUAUCAGACUCGGAGAAAUUUUUCCCAUUCUCAUCAGACUUUGAAGUUGAAUUUUACCUAUUCACCAGUUCAUAUCUACCACUUUUGCAGUGAUCCUCAUACUUACGAAGAACUGAUCACUGGAAAUAUUAGCAGUGUUACAAAUUCAAGUUUUGAUUUUGCGAAAGAAACAAAAAUUCUUGUUCAUGGCUGGCUAAGCAGUGCUUUUUCUGACUUCAGCUAUGAAAUGUUAAGUGCAAUUCUCCAGAA
rnacentral:misc_RNA from 1 species